rnacentral:tRNA from 1 species
GACCCCAUGGUCCAAUGGAUAAGGCGUUGGUCUAUGAAACCAGAGAUUCUGGGUUCGAUCCCAGAGGAGUCG